GGAUGCGAUCAUACCAGCACUAAAGCACCGGAUCCCAUCAGAACUCCGAAGUUAAGCGUGCUUUGGCGAGAGUAGUACUAGGAUGGGUGACCUCCUGGGAAGUCCUCGUGUUGCAUUCC
rnacentral:rRNA from 2 species